rnacentral:sRNA from 1 species
AGUAUCGAUGGGAGGCGUGGGUUGUUCACAGGCUUAACUCCAAGACUGUGUUCGGGAGUCCUUGGAACUGUGGUCCAUGGUAAAGUUUUACAGCAUUACCAGGAGAGUGACAAGGGUGAGUGAUCACUCUGAGAUCUAUGGUACAGUUCAUUGGCAGAGAAUCCAAGUACUGUGGACUAUGUGAUUCCAUAAUAACCAUCUAUCGGGAAGAGGGCAUUCUAGGAUUUUUCGCGGGUCUUGUUCCUCGCCUUCUAGGUGACAUCCUUUCUUUGUGGCUGUGUAACUCACUGGCCUACCUCGUCAAUACCUAUGCACUGGACAGUGGGGUUUCUACCAUGAAUGAAAUGAAGAGUUAUUCUCAAGCUGUCACAGGAUUUUUUGCGAGUAUGUUGACCUAUCCCUUUGUGCUUGUCUCCAAUCUUAUGGCUGUCAACAACUGUGGUCUUGCUGGUGGAUGCCCUCCUUACUCCCCAAUAUAUACGUCUUGGAUAGAUUGUUGGUGCAUGCUACAAAAAGAGGGGAAUAUGAGCCGAGGAAAUAGCUUGUUUUUCCGGAAGGUCCCCUUUGGGAAGACUUAUUGUUGUGACCUGAAAAUGUUA